CCUACGGGUGGCAGCAGUGAGGAAUAUUGGUCAAUGGACGAGAGUCUGAACCAGCCAAGUAGCGUGAAGGAUGACUGCCCUAUGGGUUGUAAACUUCUUUUAUAUGGGAAUAAAACGUUCCACGUGUGGGAUUUUGUAUGUACCAUAUGAAUAAGGAACGGCUCACUCCGUGCCAGCAGCCGCGGUAAUACGGAGGGUCCGAGCGUUAUCCGGAUUUAUUGGGUUUAAAGGGAGCGUAGGGGGUUUGUUAAGUCAGUUGUGAAAGUUUGCGGCUCAACCGUAAAAUUGCAGUUGAAACUGGCAGUCUUGAGUACAGUAGAGGUGGGCGGAAUUCGUGGUGUAGCGGUGAAAUGCUUAGAUAUCACGAAGAACUCCGAUUGCGAAGGCAGUUCACUGGACUGCAACUGACACUGAGGCUCGAAAGUGUGGGUAUCAAACAGGAUUAGAUACCCGUGUAGUC
rnacentral:rRNA from 1 species